UACGUAGGUGGCAAGCGUUGUCCGGAUUUAUUGGGUUUAAAGGGUGCGUAGGCGGCCUUAUAAGUCAGUGCUGAAAUACUCUAGCUUAACUAGAGGGGUGGCAUUGAUACUGUAGGGCUUGAGUACAGUCGAGGUAGGCGGAAUUGACGGUGUAGCGGUGAAAUGCUUAGAUAUCGUCAAGAACACCGAUAGUGUAGACAGCUUACUAGGCUGUAACUGGCGCUGAGGCACGAAAGUGUGGGGAUCAAACAGG
rnacentral:rRNA from 1 species